GCCUCCUGCGGUCAGGUGGCCCGGCGCGGCCAUAUUUCGCACAGGCUCCACCCUCCGUUCCUUGUCCAGGAGUCAGGGGUCUUCUUUUCAACGAGGACGCCUUCAGUUCAUCUGUAAAAAGUAGACGAACGUUGAUCUGGUAGUGAUUCCCGCCGACCCACCGUCCAACAUUUCUAUUGAUGUUAGCCAUUAAGUGUCAGAAGAUGGAGCCUCAGAGCUGGAGAUAAUGGACAACACUAUCAGCUGGCAAAACCAGUGUGGGAGCCCAGAUAUCUAAAUUCUGGACUAUUUUACAUAUGUUCCUCCAGUGUCAUCGAACUGUUGUCUAGACAUAGAACACGUGAUAGCCUGAGAUGAGAAGGGACUGUAGACAUGGAGGAUUACGCAAAGAGGAGGCUUGGUGUGUAUCCCUUUACAUUAGAAAUGGUGUAUUCUGUUACAAAAUCUGUGCAUCACCCCCAGCACCCCAGUUGUCUAUUUGUCCAGCCAUGUAUCCGAUUAACAUUUGUUACACCUCUACUAUGUGUCAGUGGAGAUCCCCACUGACACACCUACUAAGUGUCAAUGGAGAUCCCCACAUCACAGCUCUCCUAAAUAUAUUUCCUUGCCAUAUUUCAAGAUGGUUAUUCUGAGAAACGGCCCACAAAAAUAGCUCUGGAAAUCUGUUCUUGUACUGAAGAAGUUUCCAUCAGUCUACAUCAGCAGAAAAAAAAGCAGCAGGCACAGGCUCUCUCAAAGAGUCUCUCAAUCUGUCCAGGAAAGAUCCUUAGAGGAGGGAACGUCUGGGAGCAACACCCCCCACCCCCCCACCCCCCCACCCCCCGCAGAGGUGAUCACAGGUGGCUGUUAUUCGCAGGGCAGGCUCUGAUCCCAAGGCUACUCAAGUGUGCUGCUGAACUUGCUUGGCUUAGGUCCUCACCAUCCCUUCAGCCUCAUACCCUAGUCCUUUGUGCAACACAAAAUAUUUAAUCAAUGUCAACCACCUGGC
rnacentral:lncRNA from 1 species